UGAAUAAAAGGAUAAAGCCACAAACGGAGGUUAGGGAAUUCUAGAUUCUGGUGCAGCCCUAUUGAUUCGUGUGCCCAGCACCAUCCCGACUCCCCUGAUACAAGCGACUUCUGAGAACCAUUUCCUUCUUCUUUUUUAAACACAGGUUUGUUCAGAAGAUAUGAUCUUUCCCCCCAUCUCUCUCUGUCUCUUUUUUUUCAUGAUCACAUCCCUGGUCACAGAUUAUUGGUGUAGAGGUGGUCAUCUAAUAAAACCAGCACACUGAGAAAAUAGAAGUAUUCAAAUGAUGGCUCCAUAAAUAUCUGCAAAGAAAAAUCACAAUGCCUGAGGUGUUUCCUGAGGAAAAAGCAUCCUCACAUGGAAGAUCAGAAAUACUAUGAUGUUUGUGGCAGUUACAGCUUUGUUCCAUGACUGACUUUCCUUGUGAUCGUAUGGAGGCUGCCUGCAGUCAUUGAGGUGAUAUGUUUAUGCUUUCAUGUCCAAAUAGAAGAAAGUGUCUCUUCCUCCUACCAGUGAACAAAAUCCUUGUUCUUUGCAUUGUUUGGACUAAACUGAAGCAAUCAGGGUUGACAGGAGCAGACAGAAGAAUGCCUCGUGACAACAUGCCAAACACUAACAAAAAUGGGCACCUGUACUAUUUAAGGCAUGAUACCAGAGAAACCUGAU